AUUUGACCCAUAACUUAAUUCUCAAUCAAAUUAGUCUAUAUGUUCAAUCAAAUUAAGUACUUCCAAAUUGGACAUAUAAACAUAGGUCAAUACUUUCCUACGAUGUCUGAUUUUUGUAUGUGACUCUAUAGGUUCGAAUACUAAGCCGAUAGCACAGGAACUAUUUUUUACACUAAUUGAAGAUACCAUCUAGCAAUAGUUUUCGAUGUAUGGAUAGGUUGAAUAAUUAUAAAAAAAUAUUUUAGAAUC
rnacentral:lncRNA from 1 species